rnacentral:rRNA from 1 species
UACGAAGGGGGCUAGCGUUGCUCGGAAUCACUGGGCGUAAGGCGCACGUAGGCGGCUUUUUAAGUCAGGGGUGAAAUCCUGGAGCUCAACUCCAGAACUGCCUUUGAUACUGAGAAGCUCGAGUCCGGGAGAGGUGAGUGGAACUGCGAGUGUAGAGGUGAAAUUCGUAGAUAUUCGCAAGAACACCAGUGGCGAAGGCGGCUCACUGGCCCGGUACUGACGCUGAGGUGCGAAAGCGUGGGGAGCAAACAGGG